CACAGGGUUAAGCCAAUAGAAAGUCUUUAUUAGCUGGUGGUGACCACACUGUCUGUUCCAGAUCCCAGGCAGCACUGAGCCUUUCUCAAAGUGAGCUUUUAAGUACAAAAUCCAUGUUCUGGGUUGACAUACUUCAGUUAACAAGAACAGUUAGCCAGAAUCAGAACUACAGAAGCCAAAAAAAACAAGAUUUUUGCCUUAAAAGCUGCUCUGUGAGAAGUGCCUCUCUUCAGGCAGUCAUUGGUGGCUAAAUACAGACUCUUAAUUCAGACUUUGGUCAUGGUGAGUGAUCUUCCAGUCUCUACCCUGCAACAUUUGGAGGUCCCACUGAGAUCCUGUCAAGAUUGCCUCCACCAAUCCCCAGGUCUCAGCAACAGCCAGAUGCAGACCAUGUUGGUGUGGACAACUUCCUCCUGAGAAGUGUGCAACCUGAGGUGUUCUGGGGCUCCAGGAGAGAACUUCUUUUGGCAUUUGCAGCAGCGCAGGCCCCUCUGACACCACUGUCUCUAAAUUUCCUUCAGUGAGAGUCACUUUAACCAGUAAGUCUGGUUAAAGUGCUUUCUGUUUGGACAGAUGUUUGGACAGUCAGACAGGGCCACUAACCCAGGGUCUGGGAUCACUGUGAGAUGUCCCCAGACUCCCCCACCACCUAUGACAGUGUGUGGGUGGACACCCUUAAUUUGUCUCCUUAUUGCCAUUGUUUGUUCUUGUUUUGUUUGUCUCUGCCUCUUCUGGUUGGUCUGUUAUUUGUCAUUGUGAAUUGAGAUCUGGAAAAUCAAA